rfam:Deinococcus sp. LM3 Deinococcus_sp_LM3_contig1, whole genome shotgun sequence.
GCGGGGGAAUGUUCGGCCGCGCCCAGGCGUGAGUCUGGGUGAGGAAAGUCCGGGCACCGCAGGGCAGGGAUGCCAGCUAACGGCUGGUCGGCGAGUCAAGUACCCGCGGCGCGCGCCUGCGUGCGGGUGGCGGCGAAGCCGAAGGACAGUGCCACAGAAACCAGACCGCCACCUGCCGGCGUUUCAGUACGUAAAGCCCCGGCGCGGGCGGGCAGGUGGUCAGGGUGAAACGGUGCGGUAAGAGCGCACCAGACUCCCGGGAGACCGGGAGUGUCUGGUAAACCCCAUCCGGUGCAAGACCCGACAGUGCGCGAGGGUGGCCCGCCCUAUGACCGCCAGGAUGGUCGCUUGAGGCGCGCGGCGACGCGCGUCCCAGAGAGAUGGCCGAACAGUCACGAGAGUGACGGACAGAACCCGGCUUACAGUUCCCCCGCACCA